UUUGAGACUACGGCGGCCGCGCAGCUCCGUCUAACUCCAGCCUUGCGCUCCGAGCUGCCGUCCACAGGCGCCCUCGCCCCGCCCAGCUUAGCUUCGAGCCAGCCGGCCAGGCCUGCGCAGUCGCGGCGGCCGGGGAAGAUGGUGGAGGACGGCGCGGAGGAGCUGGAGGACCUGGUGCACUUCUCCGUGUCCGAGUUGCCUAGUCGCGGCUACGGCGUCAUGGAGGAGAUCCGGCGGCAGGGCAAGCUGUGCGACGUGACGCUCAAGAUUGGGGACCACAAAUUCAGUGCUCACCGGAUCGUCUUAGCAGCCUCAAUCCCGUAUUUCCACGCUAUGUUUACAAAUGACAUGAUGGAGUGCAAGCAGGAUGAGAUUGUAAUGCAAGGAAUGGACCCAAGCGCCCUGGAAGCUCUGAUCAACUUUGCCUACAACGGUCACCUUGCCAUUGACCAGCAAAACGUCCAGUCGUUGCUGAUGGGGGCGAGUUUCCUGCAGUUGCAGAGCAUCAAAGACGCCUGCUGCACAUUCCUCCGAGAACGGCUUCACCCCAAAAACUGCCUGGGUGUACGCCAGUUUGCUGAGACCAUGAUGUGUGCCGUGCUAUACGACGCGGCCAACAGCUUCAUCCACCAGCACUUUGUGGAGGUGUCCAUGUCGGAAGAGUUCCUGGCCCUGCCCCUGGAAGACGUGCUUGAGCUGGUGUCUCGGGAUGAGCUGAACGUGAAAUCAGAGGAGCAGGUGUUUGAGGCCGUGUUGGCCUGGAUCAGAUACGACCGGGAGCAGAGGGGACCCUGCCUGCCUGAGCUGCUGUCCAAUAUCCGCCUGCCCCUCUGCCGGCCCCAGUUCCUGUCAGACCGAGUGCAGCAGGAUGACCUGGUGCGUUGCUGCCACAAAUGCAGGGACCUGGUGGAUGAAGCAAAGGACUAUCACCUCAUGCCAGAGCGCCGGCCCCACCUGCCAGCUUUCAGAACUCGGCCUCGCUGCUGCACAUCUAUCGCUGGGCUCAUCUAUGCCGUGGGGGGCCUCAACUCAGCAGCAAAUUUUUAUGCAGGUGAUUCCCUGAAUGUGGUGGAAGUGUUCGACCCCAUCGCCAAUCGCUGGGAGAAGUGCCAUCCCAUGACCACAGCCCGCAGCCGUGUCGGUGUGGCCGUGGUGAACGGACUCCUCUAUGCCAUCGGGGGGUAUGACGGCCAGCUGCGGCUGAGCACUGUGGAGGUCUACAACCCAGAGACGGACACGUGGACCCGAGUGGGGAGCAUGAAUAGCAAGAGAAGUGCCAUGGGGACGGUCGUGCUGGACGGGCAGAUCUACGUCUGUGGUGGCUAUGAUGGCAACUCUUCUCUCAACUCUGUGGAGACCUACUCACCUGAGACGGACAAGUGGACUGUGGUGACCCCGAUGAGCUCCAAUCGCAGUGCUGCAGGGGUUACAGUCUUUGAGGGCAGGAUAUACGUGUCGGGCGGCCAUGACGGUUUGCAGAUCUUCAAUAGUGGAGCACUACAACCACCACACAGCCACCUGGCACCCGGCGGCCGGCAUGCUCAACAAGCGCUGCCGGCACGGAGCUGCAUCCCUGGGAAGCAAGAUGUUUGUGUGCGGGGGCUACGACGGCUCGGGCUUCCUCAGCAGCGCCGAGGUGUACAGCUCUGUGGCGGACCAGUGGUGCCUGAUAGUCCCCAUGCACACACGCCGGAGCCGGGUCUCCCUGGUGGCCAGCUGUGGGCGGCUGUACGCCGUGGGGGGCUACGACGGACAGUCGAACCUGAGCUCGGUGGAGAUGUACGACCCAGACACGGACCGCUGGACGUUUAUGGCCCCCAUGGCAUGUCACGAGGGAGGGGUCGGUGUGGGCUGCAUCCCUCUCCUCACCAUCUAAGGCGAAGGGUGGGAUGUGGUGGAGUAGGGAUCUGGUACAAACACAGGCACUUCCUUCCAGGGUUAGUCCCCCUCGGAAGAGGUGGUGGACCAGAAGACAGGGUGAAAUGUGAGCUCGCCAGAGGUACAGUUUUCCAGGUGCUUAAGUCCUCCCUCCCUGUGCAGCCCUUGUGACCUUCAGGCCUAGGUCAUCAAGAUGCACAGCGUGGGACAGAAGCCCCUCUGGGUCCCGCAGCUGGUGACACAGGACUGCUUUGCUGGUCCACAUGUCCACAGGCUCCAUCCAAGCCCAGCUCCCACCUGCCACAGCUCUGUGGGUCGCCCAUCUGCAGAGUGUCUUCCAUCUGACACUCCUUGCCUACUGCUUGCCAGGUGUGUUGUGGCCAGUUUGCGAUGGGGUGGCUUCAGUGGCCAAGCGUGUUGGAAACUGUGGGGUGUGGGUGGGAGAGGAGGGACACAGGCCGGGUUGUCCUCACUGCGAGGCUGCAGCCAUGGCAGUGCUGGUUGCACACACGCACCUCCUCCUUCCAUCCGAGCGCACCGAGAAUUUUGUCUGCAUUGCUGAGUAAGCACGAAGAACAGAAGCUUUUCCUGUGUCUAAUUUUGGGAUUUCAGCGAGGUCUUUUUCAUCUUGUUCAGGAGAAACAGAGGGAGAGGAUAAAAGAUACUUGAAAGAAACUGAAGGAAAGUUAAAGAAACACUUGAAAGAAACUGAAAAGAAAAAUAAUUUUUUAAAGUGAACAUUUUUUUGCAAGAAGAAAACAUAAAAGACACUAGAGGCAAAUAUGUGUUUAAAUGGAAAACCACCCAACGUGAAAAGGGUGGUAUCCGCUCCCACAUUCGGAUCCCAGGGUCCUAAGGCCUCGCAUGGCACUCGGGGUUCCCUCUGAGCCCCUGUGUGUCCAGAAUCAGUGCGCACUCGACCAGUCCUGUAGCAAGGUGCUCGUGGGGUUUGUCUUCACACCCACUAUCAGAGGACUUUUUUAAUCGUAGGCUUAGCGAGUUGGCUAAGUUAUUGCCACUCUUCUAGGUGGGAGCUCCUAGCUUGUCGCUGGAGGCUCCAGAUGCCCCUGUGGUUAUCUCCCACUGCCACCAUGGCACUCAUGCAGAUUCCCACCCCACUUUCAUUCCUUCCUUAUUUGACCAGCAGGAAACAGCAGGUCUGGCCAGAUUCUCAUUUGCCCAUCUAUCAUUCUUGGAUAGUUUUCUUCAUCGUGAUGCUUCUGAGGUACAUUGACCAUUUGUACCUCUAGAACCUAACCAGAGACUUGGUCCUUCCACCAGCCACGGCUGGCUUGAUCCAGUAACCAUAUCUACCCUGCCAGUCCGCUGCUCCUCCAUCCACUCGCCAAUUCCAGGGGUCUGGUCUCCCCUCCAGCCCUUGGCAGACUGACCAGCAAGGUGGACCUUUAUAUUCUAGCAAAGCUGGCUUUAUGACGUAAAGAACUAAAAGCUGAAAGAAUCUCUUGCUGCUGCAAAGAACAGAUUUUAUAUUUCUUCCUAUGAUCUUAGCUAAUGACCUCUUGAAGAGGCUCCAUGCUCCUCCUUCCUCCUCCCUGGAUGGGACCUUGAUGCUGCAAAGUGGGACCCCAACAGGAGGACUCUUCUCUUACCAGUGCACUGGGCAGUGGAGCUGUCCUUCAACUGCUGCUGCCAAAAUUUGGUUUUCCAAAAUUCUUCCAGUAGAGACUAAAAGAGGAUACAUUUCCAAUGCAUGAUUGGGUCUCAGGGUCCCAAUCUCUACUUGGUUGGUCUGCCCAUCGCUGCCUGCCUGGGUGUCCUGGAAGCCUGUUCAGAAAGGCACCAUGUGACACCUGAGACGUCUCUCCUACCCUGGGACUGUGAGGUUUACCAGUGUGUGCAAUCGCCAUGUUUCCAGAGGGAAGUACCUUUGUUACCUGCCACUUAGGAGCUGGGCCUCUGCUAAAAGCACUUGAAAAUGAUGUUUUUAUUUUAAAAGACUUAACAAUCUGAUAUAGUUGAGCCUGGGCUUGUGGUAGAGCUCUGGCAUUUCUCGCUCCCUGUCGGUUUGCCUGUUAGAGGUAGACUUGGAAGGAGGGUGGGGUCUGUUAUUCCUGUUAGAGAGGAGUUAUCAGUGCUUGUCUUCUUAUUAUAAGCCCCUUUCUUUUGUGAAUUUGCAACAGCACUGACAAACCUGGGUUGUGAAUGUGUUAAGAAUCAACCAGUGGACCUCACCAGGUCCUUAGGAUGCUGACCCAGAUUUUGCCAUUGGGGUUGAGAGAUCAUUUUCCCAUGAUCUGCUGCUCUUGUGAUAGCCUUCCUACAUCUACUCCCACCUCCUGGUGUAGAAGUUACACUGCUCCACCUGGGGUCAGUGUUUCCAAGUAAGGUGAAGCCAGUGCCUUGAUCUGGGCUCUGAGCACAAGUGAGCAAACACUAACAUUUUCACACUCUCCACAGUUGGUUCCUCAGUCUGACGGUGAUGACUGUUUACAGGUGGCUGGUCUGACCCUUUGAUGUUGGAGCCUUUCCAGUAAAACCAUGAAAAGAAGAGAUGCCACCCAUAGGUAUUGUGAAAAGGGUAUAGGGCAGAUACUGUGGACAGUGAACCUUGGGGUCCGACCCAGCUCUGAGCAGAGGACUGUGGCAUUCGCUGUCCUAGGGUAUUUCCCCUUAGAUAACACAAGGAACCUUCUCUUCUGGGUUUCAUCCGAGAGCAAAGCCAGGAUGGGAGCUGAAGUCCAGCCUUUUGACUUGGCCACAGAGAUGUGAGUAGGUAGGAAUUCCGAUUCCCCCUCCCCCCAAUUUAUUGUUUCCCAGAAAAAUCUUAAUUCCUUUUAUUUAUAGAACGCAUGUCUUUUGUGUUAAGAAACCAAAGAGAAAUAAAGAGUACACUCCUAAUAUCUUCUUGCCCUUUCCUGAUUUUAUUUUUUUUAAAUUAGAGGUAAAUCAUAUUUUUAUCGUAAUUCAGUGAAAAAAUAUUGGACAAAGUGAAAAUAUUUCUGUGAAAAUAAGGAAAAAGCCCAACAGCAUGGCAAAAGUAGUCUUUGGAGAGACGUGUAUAUUUUAUAAGAAUGGGUUCUGAUGAAAAAUAUAUGCAAAAGACUUCCUGAGCGUGUUGCAUAUUUGCUCCUGUCCGGAUCACCACUUCUCUUGGAUUUCCCCCUUUCUUCACUCCCUGCCAUAAAACUCCUAGAGUUCCUAAGUGGAAUGUGACUGCCUGUGACCACCUGGAGCCAAAACCCCCAGCUCCUUUUUUAUACCUCCAAGCCAGAGGUGCUUAGCUUUGGUGCACAUAAAAGUCACUGGAAAUUUUUUAAACCACAGAUUGACUUGUAGAACCCUCCCCAGAGACCAAUUCCCUAGGGCUGGGGUGCAGCUCAGGCCCUUGUGCAGGCAAGUUUCCACCAUGGUUGGUAUGCUCAUCCCAGUGUGAGAACCAGACUCCAGUGUUUAGUUUCCUCUUCCAGAUCUGCCUUCCUAAGAUUGCAUCCUGGUUACUGUGGUGGUGGAUUUUAGGAAACUCUUCAUGCACACUUUUCCAAAAGUCAGUUUAUGGUCAGCCUCAUCCAGUGGGUAAUGGUUGUACUCUUGGAUGACAACUUUUUGUGUGUGUGUGGCUGUGUUGGGUCUUCGUCACUGCACAUGACCUUUCUCUAGUUGCGGCGAGCGGGGGCUACUCUUCGUUGCAGUGCGCGGGCUUCGCGUUGCGGUGGCUUCUUUUGUUGCGGAGCAUGGGCUGUAGGCACAUGGGCUUCAGUUAGUUGUGGCACACGGGCUCUAGAGCGCAGACUCAGUAGUUGUGGCUCACAGGCUUAGUUGCUCCGCGGCAUGUGGGAUCUUCCCAGACCAGGGAUCGAACCCGUGUCCGCUGCAUUGGCAGGCAGAUUCUUAUCCCCUGCGCCACCAGGGAAGCCCUGGAUGAUAACUUUUUAAAAACGUUUUUGGAAGGGUAUGUCACUCCCACAUACACCCCCUCAGCAUGUUUCACAUAUAAACACUGUUGAUUCUCACUUGGUCCUCUUAGUAACCUCUGUGCAAUAGGUGACAUAGCUCAUUUUAACAUAAAUUUUCUCAGAAGGGCUGAGUAACUGACCUGAUUCAUCAACUAAUUGGUAGUAUCGUCAAGAAUUGAGACCAGAUCUCCACAUUCACAGUCCAGUUCACCUGAGGAAAGCAGUGUCUUCGUCCUCUGGAGCAGCUGAUUCAUCCAGCCUCCAUGCCCCGAGUGUGGAGGUCUGCUGCCCAGUACUGUGAUGGCCUUCGAGAAGCAGACUGAGCAGCGAGAGAAAGAGAAGAACCCUGUUUGGAUUAUGGAAACAGACUCUCAAUUCUGUUUCAUCGAUCUCUAUGCCUGUCCAUGAGCCAAUACCACACUGAUUGUAUGCUACUGAGUUUUCCAGCUUUAAAGAACUUAUUUUCAUCUCAGCAUUGUUUACAGCAAUUUCAAAGCAAAACAAAAUGGAAACAACUUCGACAGCAGGAGUGACUUAAAUAAAUGGAGGUCUAACCACCCAAUGGAGAAUUACACAGAAAAAAACAUGGGGUGAGUCAAUAGUGACGGAAGUGUGUUAGCUGACAGGUUAAAUGAGAAUAAGCUGGUUGUAAAAUGGGCCGUAAAAUGACUGUGAAGUCAUUUUUUCUUUUAAAAAUAAAACUCACAUUGUACCUGUAUGUAUGAGGAAUGAAAUUUGAUUCCUGCAGCUAUUUAGAUGUUGCCCUAGAGGUCUGUUCACCCAUUGUGUUCCCACCCCCAACCCCCAGUGAAUUUUUCCUUCUCGGUCUUGCUUCUGUGGGCCUGAAGACGUUCAGAAGCUGCCAAGGCCAAGAGGCUGAGCUGUAUUUGGAGCCUUGAUACCAUCUCAGGGCCUGAUAGUGUCUGGGCUAUGAGAAUACAGCAGAGUGGCCCCAGGAGAGCCUCGUGGCUGAUCCUACAGGCCUGCCCUCUUGCGGGGUACAGCAUGAUGGGCCUUGUGUAAUGUGGCAUUGACCACCAUAGAUGAGCCUUGAGCUUCCUGGGAGAAGUUGCUCAGCCCGUUAGUGUCCAGAACCCCCUAGAAGACCUGGAUGAGACCUGGAAGUACUCUUUCGGGGUGGGGGCCAGGCAAGGGAGUGAUAUGUGGUGGUGUGCCUGCGGUGCUGGUGCCUUCUGCUCUCUGCAGGAGCUAGAAGUGACCUUCUCCAGCUGAACAUCAUUGUCCCACCAUGGGGAGAGGGUCUGGGGUCUAGUUUAUCCUGCUCAGCCCAAACCUGCCCAUUUCCCACCCCAGGGUUGCUCCCUGCAGCAUCCCCCACCCCCUCUUGCCCACCAGUGGGGCUACCUGAGAUUUAGGUGGCAAGGGAGUUGGAGUGUGGACUAUGGGCAAGUUAACCAAUUUCCUUGAGGCUUAGUUUUCUCACUGAAAGUUGCAGGUGAUGCAUGCAGCUUGCAACGCAUUUCUGAGACCUGAGAAGUGUAUUCCCAUUCACUGUAUGGGAAGUGGCAUUCAUAAAUCGUGGCUAUUAUUAUCAUUAAUGGAGAGGAGUCCUUGGCUUUCCUGGGAUAAUUACUAAAAAACCCAUUUCCCCAAGGGGCUCUACACCAUGGCCCCUCAAAUGAGAGUUUCCCACAGAUAUUUCUGUAGCAAAGACUUGAAAAAGGAGCCUACUAGUUAGAAGACAAGGGCAUUCAUCCAUUCAACAAGUAUUUACUGAGCAACUACAGUGUGUCAGGCCCUGUUCUCAGGGCUGGAUGUAUCAGGAACCAAGGCCAGGGUUUGCUGGUGGACCAGAUGUGGCUGUGAAAGACAGCAGAGAGCCAGAUGCUCAGGUGCUUGGAUGGAGGCUGCCAUCAGCUGGGCUGGGGUGGGCUGUAGGAAGGGUGGUUUGGAGGGAAGAUACUGUGUGGCACACCUUGGACAUCCAUGGGGAGGCGUCCAGGAGGCAAUCUGAAAUGCGAGUCUGGGGUUCAGGGAGAGGUUCUGGCUGGAGCUUAGAUAAAGAAGGAAGCAUAAAGGAAUGAAAGGUGGUUGAGGAGGCUGGGGGCAGAUUACUUUGCCUUCUUGAGCUUCCAGGGAAGCCCUUGGAUGCCCCCCCAACCCAUGUUUCUCUUCAUUGUCCCUGCCCUGACCUCAGGGAGUCUGUGUUCCCAUGAUGCACAGUGGAAUCACCCCCAGGACCUGUCUCAUUUGUCUCCUCACCCCAAGUCCAGCUGGCCCAGCUCUAACACCUUAUUCAUUCACAUUCAUGUAAUCAUUUAUUUUAGAAAUGUUUUAUUGAGUUUCUCUCCUGUGGCUCUCACCAGAGAGUGGCCUGACCCCCUCUUGGAGGUACCUGGAUAUAUGAAGGGACAUUUAGUUGUCACAGUGACUGGGCAGGGAACAGGGGCACUCAGGGUCCUGCACAGAAGGAACUGCCCUCCCAGGAUUCAGGAGCACUUUGCUGAGAUAGUCAUUCCCCAGCCACCUGCAGCUGGCUGAGGAGGGCUCAGCUGUGAGUAAAUACAGUGCUACGGAGCCUGGGACACAGCAGGUAAUGCCAGGUAAUGGUUUGGGGAUCAUGAAUGCACAGAUGAGGGAAGGACACUUCUGCUGCCCAGGGAAGAGCAGAGAGGCUUCCUGGAGGAGGUGACUUUGGAGCUGUGCCUUAAAAGAUGAGCAGGAUUUACAGACACAGGAUGGGCAGGAAUUCCAGACAGAGGGAAGCAGGUAUGCGAAUGCAGAGGAGUAUGGGUGGGCUCAGACUGCAGGAAAGGGAGUGCUGAGGGCAGCAGAGGAAGAGAAUGGGUGGGAAUAAGAGGUUGUGGUGGGGUUGCAGGGCAUCCCUUCCCUUCCGCAGCCCUAGAAAUUCCUCAGUAUGUUGGUGAUGAUGUCGUGCUUGGCUUUCUCGUACAGGUCCCUGACUGCAUGUGGCAGUUGGGAGCUCUCAGUUCCUGGAGUGUCCACUCCAGGGGACCCAGCAGAACGCCUCACCCGGCGGACCUACAGAAGUGAUGCAGACGUGAUCACCCUCAUUGAUUGGCCCCCUUUCCUGUCCUGCCUGUGGCCCCUCUCUCCAGGUGGGGAUGAGUGUGAGGCACCGGCAGUGAUGUUGGUGAUGGGGCUGGAGGUGGUCCCCAGUGAGGCCCUUCCACUCGGAGUCCAGAGGGCCUGGGAAGGCCUGAACUCUGCCGCUCACUUCCUCUCUGGCUAUUCCACUCACUUGCUAGGAGGCUGCACCUCCGGCUUCAGUUUUUCCAAAUGUGGGAUGUGGAGGAGGGUUCCCAGAGCUCAGGGCCCAGAGCAGAGCCAGUGUCCUGCGAAGUCUGAGCUCCCUCUCACCCCCAGGACGCCCCUUAGCCUCGACCACCAGUCUCUCCUCCCCACCCCUCCUGCCAAACGACUAGCAGUCAUCAAGGUCCAACCGUGCCUCACACUCCACAAGCCUUUCCCCUCCUGAUGACUUGCGUUUAGAAGGGCUCGAUCGGCCCGGUUUCCAGAGGAGGAAACUGAGGCCCCACGCGCCGAAGUCAGUGGCCCGGGUGAGGGCCCCUCAGUCAUCGGCGGUCACCGGGCAGAGCGCCGCCCGCGACGGAAACAGACUGGGGCCAGCACGGGCGCAGGGGCUCAUCUCCGGCUUGAGCUCGCGCUCGUGGUCCGGGUCCCCAGGGCAGUUGAGGGAUGGUUGAGGGACGGAAGGAUGUGCUGCAGCAUGAAGAAGAUGCCCGUGCAGUUCCGCUCUUCCUGCGGGUCAGUGAGCACAGGGGUGCGGUGGCCGACGUUCUUGCCCAGGUACACAGGCUCCCGAAGCCGGCGCCUUCCCUAAUCCUCCCCCCAGAGCCAGGAGGGAGCGGCGAACGCUGGGGGGACCCGGGCGGGCUCCGUGAACGCCCAGUAAAAUUAAGGACUUUCAUGCAAGUUAUAUUAAACGGGAAAAGGCCUCCAAAAUUAGCCUCAGAGGAAGCUAUAUUUGUUUAAAACACUCGUGUGUACAUAAAAAAGAUACAGAAGAUGAUUCACCAACGGUAAUGUUGUCUCCUCCUGGGUAGUGGGGUUGCAGGGGGUUUUUGUUUGUUUGUUUUUAGUUUGCUUCUCCACAUUUUGUUAAUUUGCUAUAAUAAAAUAUUAUUUUCCUAAUUUUAGAAAAA